rnacentral:rRNA from 1 species
GACGAACCGUGCGAACGUUGUUCGGAUUCACUGGGCUUAAAGGGCGCGUAGGCGGGCUCGCAAGUCAGGGGUGAAAUCCUCCGGCUCAACCGGAGAACAGCCUUUGAUACUGCGAGCCUCGAGGAAGGUAGGGGCAUGUGGAACUUCCGGUGGAGCGGUGAAAUGCGUAGAUAUCGGAAGGAACGCCGGUGGCGAAAGCGACGUGCUGGACCUUUUCUGACGCUGAUGCGCGAAAGCCAGGGGAGCAAACGGG